rnacentral:misc_RNA from 1 species
AAGUCGUAACAAGGUCUCCGUUGGUGAGCCAGCGGAGGGAUCAUUAUAGAGUUAUAACAAACUCCCAACCCAUGUGAAUUUACCUAUGUUGCCUCGGCAGGUCCUACCCUGUAGUUACCCUGUAGCUACCCUGUAGCCUGCCGGUGGACCUACAAACUCUGUUUUUUAAUGGAAAUCUGAGCGUAUUAUUUAAUAAAUAAAAA